rnacentral:lncRNA from 1 species
AAAAGACAAAUUCAUAUAACUAAAAUUAUAUGUAAGUUCUUAUCUGUGAUUUUUCAUUACAAUUUAGCAAUUAUUUCAUUUGAAUUUUUGCAAUUUUGCCAAUAUAAUUUUAUUAUUUUGGAAUUAUUUAAUCCUUUCUUACUAAUACAUGUUUGAAGUAUACAUUUUAUGUGUAUAUAAGGUUAUGUAGGAAAUAAUACCAGGGGUGUAUAUUUAUACUUGAACAUUAUAUUAAUUUUGUUAUAAAACUUAAGAAAUGUAGGAAUAUUUGCUAAAAGGUAAUAGGUUUAUAGCAGAUUUGUGAAGACUCUUCAGUGAAUGAAUAUAUGAAUUGAGAAACAUUAUCUUAUCAAAUUUAGAUCAAUCAUAUUUUUUCAAACCUGGCCAGUUGUGUACUUGUAAUACUGAGGUAACAUUUCCACAUUGAAAUUCUGUUAAUCAGAGACAGGAUUAGUUUUUAUGCCUCCCUUUGAUAUUUUCGGCUCUGUGUGUCUGUCUAUUCAUUAGUCUCUCCCUUCAUCUCUCCGUUAUCAGGUUAAUGUUUUGGUUUAAUGUUGAUGAGGAUGAAGUUAUAGUCACCUUAAAUUUAAAUCAUUUACACAGGAUCAUUUUGAUGUUAACAUUUUCAUAUGUUUAACAAAUUUUAACUAUUAUUAUCUGUAAACACAAUCCAUUCUCUUUUCAUGUUGAUAUAUUACCUAAAAAAUAGCAUUUUAUUAUAAAUGAUUGGCAUAGCUUAGAUAGCCUCUUAAAUUUAUUCACAGCUGUUGAGGGGCUAUUUCUAUGUUACUCAAUUGUUGCAAGACUGUCUAGUAUAAUGACCUCUUAAUUUUAUUUGGUUAUUUGUGUUGUUGUUUCAUUGGCAUGUAUAUCACGUCUCUUUUUAUACACAAUUAUCCCCAAACAUCAAAGUUUAUAGCAAUUUAUUAACUGAAUAGUGAGAACUCAUUAUUGGUGAAGAACCAAUUUUUAUGUUUUUUUUAAGGUUUAGGUGAACCACAGAUUCGUGUUUUCAACAAAAAGAAAGUUUCUUUGGGCUGAUAUUCAGACUUUGUUAUUAACAACAAAAGAUCAAGUAACCAUGAAAAUGCAAAUUUUCCUCAAUCGAUGAAAAUUGGUACUCCAAAAUAUCAGCCAAUCCACAUAAUGCAUAUUGAAGUAUAUUUAACAAUUUGUUCUUUUGUAGAGUUAUUCAGAUUAUUUAUUGACAUUUUUAAACAUAAUAUUUAUAUAAAAUCAAGUAAAGUUAGAUUUUACUGUAUAGAUUAGAAGGGAGGAAAAGGAUCAGUAGUACAUGUAGGUAUGAAUGAAAUGUAAAUAAUUGUACAAAUGUAUAAUAUGUAGAUUAUGUACAGUACAUUAAAAUGCUACCUUUUAUAAUAAAUUAUAAGCAAAC